rnacentral:rRNA from 1 species
GAUGAACGCUGGCGGCGUGCCUAAUACAUGCAAGUCGAGCGAACAGACGAGGAGCUUGCUCCUCUGAUGUUAGCGGCGGACGGGUGAGUAACACGUGGAUAACCUACCUAUAAGACUGGGAUAACUUCGGGAAACCGGAGCUAAUACCGGAUAACAUGUUGAACCGCAUGGUUCAACAGUGAAAGACGGUCUUGCUGUCACUUAUAGAUGGAUCCGCGCCGCAUUAGCUAGUUGGUAAGGUAACGGCUUACCAAGGCAACGAUGCGUAGCCGACCUGAGAGGGUGAUCGGACACACUGGAACGGAGACACGGUCCAGACUCCUACGGGAGGCAGCAGUAGGGAAUCUUCCGCAAUGGGCGAAAGCCUGACGGAGCAACGCCGCGUGAGUGAAGAAGGUCUUCGGAUCGUAAAACCCUGUUAUUAGGGAAGAACAAAUGUGUAAGUAACUAUGCACGUCUUGACGGUACCUAAUCAGAAAGCCACGGCUAACUACGUG